rnacentral:rRNA from 1 species
UACGGAGGGGGCUAGCGUUGUUCGGAAUUACUGGGCGUAAAGCGCACGUAGGCGGCUUUGCAAGUUAGAGGUGAAAGCCCGGGGCUCAACUCCGGAAUUGCCUUUAAAACUGCAUCGCUAGAAUUGUGGAGAGGUAAGUGGAAUUCCGAGUGUAGAGGUGAAAUUCGUAGAGAUCGGGAGGAACACCAGUGGCGAAGGCGCCUAUCUGGCUGACAACUGACGCUGAGACUCGAAAGCAUGGGGAGCAAACAGG